CCUGGGAACUGCGUUNUGAACUGGGUGACUAGAGUGUNUCAGAGGGAGGUAGAAUUCCACGUGUAGCAGUGAAAUGCGUAGAGAUGUGGAGGAAUACCGAUGGCGAAGGCAGCNUCCGGGGAUAACACUGACGUUCAUGCCCGAAAGCGUGGGUAGCAAACAGGAUUAGAUACCCUGGUAGUCCGCGCCCUAAACGAUGUCGAUUAGCUGUUGGGCAGCAUGACUGCUUAGUAGCGAAGCUAACGCGUGAAAUUGACCGCCUGGGGAGUACGGUCGCAAGAUUAAAACUCAAAGGAAUUGACGGGGACCCGCACAAGCGGUGGAUGAUGUGGAUUAAUUCGAUGCAACGCGAAGAACCUUACCUGGUCUUGACAUGUACGGAACCCUCCAGAGACGGAGGGGUGCCUUCGGGAGCCGUAACACAGGUGCUGCAUGGCUGUCGUCAGCUCGUGUCGUGAGAUGUUGGGUUAAGUCCCGCAACGAGCGCAACCCUUGUCAUUAGUUGCCAUCAUUAAGUUGGGCACUCUAAUGAGACUGCCGGUGACAAGCCGGAGGAAGGUGGGGAUGACGUCAAGUCCUCAUGGCCCUUAUGACCAGGGCUUCACGCGUCAUACAAUGGUCGGUACAGAGGGUAGCCAAGCCGCGAGGUGGAGCCAAUCUCACAAAACCGAUCGUAGUCCGGAUUGCACUCUGCAACUCGAGUGCAUGAAGUCGGAAUCGCUAGUAAUCGCAGGUCAGCAUACUGCGGUGAAUACGUUCCCGGGUCUUG
rnacentral:rRNA from 1 species